rnacentral:rRNA from 1 species
GAUGAACGCUGGCGGCGUGCCUAAUACAUGCAAGUCGAGCGAACAGACGAGGAGCUUGCUCCUCUGACGUUAGCGGCGGACGGGUGAGUAACACGUGGAUAACCUACCUAUAAGACUGGGAUAACUUCGGGAAACCGGAGCUAAUACCGGAUAAUAUAUUGAACCGCAUGGUUCAAUAGUGAAAGACGGUUUUGCUGUCACUUAUAGAUGGAUCCGCGCCGCAUUAGCUAGUUGGUAAGGUAACGGCUUACCAAGGCAACGAUGCGUAGCCGACCUGAGAGGGUGAUAGGCCACACUGGAACUGAGACACGGUCCAGACUCCUACGGGAGGCAGCAGUAGGGAAUCUUCCGCAAUGGGCGAAAGCCUGACGGAGCAACGCCGCGUGAGAGAUGAAGGUCUUCGGAUCGUAAAACUCUGUUAUUAGGGAAGAACAAAUGUGUAAGUAACUAUGCACGUCUUGACGGUACCUAAUCAGAAAGCCACGGCUAACUACGUG